CUACCCCUGUAACUAACCCUGCUAGCACUGGACGCUUGGAGAAUGGUUUGAUGAAGACAAAAGAGGAGACUCAUCUCCACCAGCAACAUAUAAUAACCCUUGAACCAGAGAGGCUGCCGCAGUGGUAGGGCCUAAGUGGAAUCCCAUAAAUGGAAUGGGAAGGCGGGAACAUUAUAAGCGGUACUUAGUGGGACUGAGGCAUGGAAUUCCUACAUAAAGGAGUUUGGGUAAACAGAGGAUAAACACAUGUGCCAGAGCACUUGAUAUGAGGGAAGCUGCCUUACAGGACUUCUCUGCCUCCAGAUUGCCCACCUCCACACCUGGUGAUCAGGUCUUAAGACCUGGCAGAGUAGAGAUGCCCAAGCUCAACUCAUAGCAUGUUCUGGCUGCCGCCAGCAAUGCAGCAGACUGACAGUUUCCAGCCCUGAAAACCCACGGAGGUUUCUACAAUAUGCAUGAACCACAGAACUUUCUCGGUGUGGGAAGAGCAGAAAGCGCAAGCUAAGCUGGAUGCAGCUGAAGUGAGGCCUGGAAGGGA